GAGUGGCGAAACGGGUGGAGUAACACGUGGGGUGACUUGCCCCGCCACUCGGGGAUAAGCCUUGAAACCUGGGUCUAAUACCGGAUAGGACGGCACCGUGAGGGUGUGUUGAAAAGUUUUUCGGUGUGGGAUGGGCCCGCGGCCUAUCAGCUUGUUGGUGGGGUAAUGGCCUACCAAGGCGGCGACGGUAGCCCGGCCUGAGAGGGUGGACGGCCACAUUGGGACUGAGACACGGCCCAGACUCCUACGGGAGGCAGCAGUGGGGAAUAUUGCACAAUGGGCGGAAGCCUGAUGCAGCGACGCCGCGUGGGGGAUGACGGCCUUCGGGUUGUAAACUCCUUUCACCAUCGACGAAGGUUUUCUGACGGUAGAUGGAGAAGAAGCACCGGCUAACUACGUGCCAGCAGCCGCGGUAAUACGUAGGGUGCGAGCGUUGUCCGGAAUUACUGGGCGUAAAGAGCUCGUAGGUGGUUUGUCGCGUCGUCUGUGAAAUUCCGGGGCUUAACUCCGGGCGUGCAGGCGAUACGGGCAUAACUUGAGUACUGUAGGGGAGACUGGAAUUCCUGGUGUAGCGGUGAAAUGCGCAGAUAUCAGGAGGAACACCGGUGGCGAAGGCGGGUCUCUGGGCAGUAACUGACGCUGAGGAGCGAAAGCAUGGGUAGCGAACAGGAUUAGAUACCCUGGUAGUCCACACUGUAAACGAUGAAUGCUAGGUGUAGGUGGUAUCGACCCCCAUCUGUGCCGCAGUAAACACAAUAAGC
rnacentral:rRNA from 1 species